rnacentral:rRNA from 1 species
GAUGAACGCUAGCGGCAGGCUUAACACAUGCAAGUCGUGGGGCAGCGCGAGGUAGCAAUACUUUGGCGGCGACCGGCAAACGGGUGCGGAACACGUACGCAACCUUCCUCAAAGCGGGGAAUAGCCUCUCGAAAGAGAGAUUAAUACCCCAUAGUAUCUCGGAUUCACAUGGAUUUGAGAUUAAAGCUCCGGCACUUUGAGAUGGGCGUGCGGCUGAUUAGGUAGUUGGUAGGGUAACGGCCUACCAAGCCAACGAUCAGUAGCUGAUGUGAGAGCAUGAUCAGCCACACGGGCACUGAGACACGGGCCCGACUCCUACGGGAGGCAGCAGUGAGGAAUAUUGGUCAAUGGAGGCAACUCUGAACCAGCCAUGCCGCGUGAAGGAUGAAGGUCCUCUGGAUUGUAAACUUCUUUUAUAGAAGAAGAAACCCUAUUUUUACUAAAUGGGUUGACGGUACUCUAUGAAUAGCACCGGCUAACUCGUCC